rnacentral:rRNA from 1 species
UACGUAGGGUGCAAGCGUUAAUCGGAAUUACUGGGCGUAAAGCGUGCGCAGGCGGCUUUGCAAGACAGAUGUGAAAUCCCCGGGCUUAACCUGGGAACUGCAUUUGUGACUGCAUGGCUAGAGUUUGGCAGAGGGGGGGUAGAAUUCCACGUGUAGCAGUGAAAUGCGUAGAUAUGUGGAGGAACACCGAUGGCGAAGGCAGCCCCCUGGGUCAAGACUGACGCUCAUGCACGAAAGCGUGGGGAGCAAACAGGAUUAGA